rnacentral:misc_RNA from 1 species
GAUGAAGAACGCAGCGAAAUGCGAUACGUAAUGUGAAUUGCAGAAUUCAGUGAAUCAUCGAGUCUUUGAACGCACAUUGCGCCCUCUGGUAUUCCGGAGGGCAUGCCUGUCCGAGCGUCAUUGCUGCCCUCAAGCACGGCUUGUGUGUUGGGCCCCGUCCUCCUUCCGGGGACGGGUCCGAAAGGCAGCGGCGGCACCGCGUCCGGUCCUCAAGCGUAUGGGGCUUUGUCACUCGCUUUGUAGGCCUGGCCGGCGCUUGCCGAUCAACCAAACUUUUUAUCAGGUUGACCUCGGAUCAGGUAGGGAUACCCGCUGAACUUAAGCAUAUCAAUAAGCGGAGGA